rnacentral:rRNA from 1 species
GACGAACGCUGGCGGCGUGCUUAACACAUGCAAGUCGAACGGAAAGGCCCUUCGGGGUACUCGAGUGGCGAACGGGUGAGUCACACGUGGGUGAUCUGCCCUGCACUUUGGGAUAAGCCUGGGAAACUGGGUCUAAUACCGAAUAGGACCACGCGCUUCAUGGUGUGUGGUGGAAAGCUUUUGCGGUGUGGGAUGGGCCCGCGGCCUGUCAGCUUGUUGGUGGGGUAAUGGCCUACCAAGGCGACGACGGGUAGCCGGCCUGAGAGGGUGACCGGCCACACUGGGACUGAGAUACGGCCCAGACUCCUACGGGAGGCAGCAGUGGGGAAUAUUGCACAAUGGGCGCAAGCCUGAUGCAGCGACGCCGCGUGAGGGAUGACGGCCUUCGGGUUGUAAACCUCUUUCACCAGGGACGAAGCGUAAGUGACGGUACCUGGAGAAGAAGCACCGGCCAACUACGUG